rnacentral:lncRNA from 1 species
GUUGUAUCUCUUAAGGCUGUCUUUAUUUCAUGUCGUCAUAGAAUUAUCAACGAAUCUAAUAUCUAUCCCCUCCAAGCUUCCGAUAUAUCAACAUCCCAACAGGAGCUAUGAAAGGCUUUAAUGAGCUUUAACUACACAUCUUCAACUAACAUGCAAUCCUAUUCAUAAGUAUCAAAACACUUACGACCUAACUUAAGUUUAAUGCAACGAAUAAUCGGAAAUCAUCCAAAGCAGAAAGAGAUGAAAGCAGAGAGAGAUACGCACAACACGAUGGAAACGCAAUCUAGAUUCGAGCGAAUCGAGUUGUACGCGGUUGGAAUGUCAGACCGCUUAGAAAGGCGUCAAUGAAUCGAAUCAGGGUGAACGCACUCCUACUGAUUUUCAGGUCGAAAGUCAUGGUCAUUCGUACAGUAGGUGUGCGACCUUUGCUUUAAAUUCACUUUCGAGCAUGCACGAAUGUAAAAUCGCUUUGGAUUAACCUUCUGCUUGAUAGUUCAAGCUGUAAACGAAUUAUCUUAUACGAAAGGAAAAGGUGUUCUGAUAUUUAUGAACGGCAAUGUACGUAUCGUGUUAGGUGCGAAUAUAAAAUCGAAAAAGCACAGGCCACCAUCGUCAUCAUCGAUUCAACGCGUCAAUCGUGAGAGUGAACGCGAGUGAGAAUAACACGUGAAAAGUUUUCAAUGUAUACGCGGAGAAAUUAUUCAGACGAAAGUUCUGUCUACGAUUUAAAGGAGGUCGCCGUGACGAGUUCACUUUCGAGAGAGCCAACUAUGCACUAUACAUGUGAAUCUAUCUAUCUGACAGCCUCUGGUCUCUGCUAUCUUUUGAUUGCUCAUUAUUAUGCGCGCCUCGUACGUCAAUAUCUUCUCUCCACGUUGGUAGAGUCAUUCAAUGACUCAGGUCUUUGUAUCACGCUGAGAACUUUAAUUUCAGUAAGAAUAGAUCGAAUCUAAUUAGUUUGUUUACUGUUGAUAAUCGAAUAGGUUUUGAUAACGAUGAAUUAAUAUGAUCGAUGCGAUUAUUGCAUUUUU